rnacentral:misc_RNA from 1 species
GAUGAAGAACGCAGCGAAAUGCGAUAAGUAAUGUGAAUUGCAGAAUUCAGUGAAUCAUCGAAUCUUUGAACGCACAUUGCGCCCGCCAGUAUUCUGGCGGGCAUGCCUGUUCGAGCGUCAUUACAACCCUCAGGCCCCCGGGCCUGGCGUUGGGGAUCGGCGGAAGCCCCCUGUGGGCACACGCCGUCCCUCAAAUACAGUGGCGGUCCCGCCGCAGCUUCCAUUGCGUGGUAGCUAACACCUCGCAACUGGAGAGCGGCGCGGCCAUGCCGUAAAACACCCAACUUCUGAAUGUUGACCUCGAAUCAGGUAGGAAUACCCGCUGAACUUAAGCAUAUCAAUAAGCGGAGGA